GACGCACUCUCGGGGACGUAUUUCCGGUCCCGAGUGCCGACUCAGUCGCCGGGGGCGGGCUUCUCUGGCUGGCUAACUCAGCUGCCCUGGAGGAUUCGUGCGCGCUUGAUAAAGUACCGCUGAUGAAAUCAUGACCAGGUGGGCCCGAGUAACUACCACUCAUAACAAGAGACCUUUGGCUGCAACAUCAUGGGAGGACAUGAAGAAGGGGUCCUUCCAGGGAGAAAGCCAAAAUCGACCAAAGAAUAAACAACUUGAAGCCAAAAGGCUCUCCGUUAAAAAUGAUGCGCCCCAAGCAAAACACAAAAAGAACAAAAAGAAAAAGGAGUACUUAAAUGAAGAUGUAAAUGGAUUCAUGGAAUACCUAAGACAAAACUCACAGAUAGUUCAUAAUGGAGAGAUGAUAGCAACAGACAGUGAGGAGGUAAGGGAAGAAAUUGCAGUAGCUUUAAAGAAGGAUAGUCGACGGGAAGGAAGAAGACUAAAAAGACAAGCAGCAAAGAAGAAUGCAAUGGUAUGUUUCCAUUGUAGAAAACCUGGCCAUGGGAUUGCAGAUUGCCCAGCUGCCCUUGAGAAUCAAGAUAUGGGAACUGGAAUAUGUUACCGGUGUGGGUCCACAGAGCAUGAAAUAACCAAGUGCAAAGCCAAAGUAGACCCAGCUCUUGGUGAAUUUCCUUUUGCAAAAUGCUUUGUUUGUGGGGAAAUGGGGCAUCUAUCCAGAUCUUGUCCUGAUAAUCCCAAAGGACUCUAUGCUGAUGGUGGUUGCUGUAGACUCUGUGGCUCUGUGGACCAUUUUAAGAAAGAUUGCCCUGAGAGUCAGAAUUCAGGUACAAACCCUUUGGAAAUACCAUCUUUUGUGAAGUCUAGGCAUGCAUGGAAACAGAAGUGGAUCCAAAGAGGGUAAAGGGAGAUCUUGAAAGGACUCAGAAGUGAAGACAAAGACAUAAUAAAAGCCAACAACCCAGAACAAAACACUGGCAAGAGGUCAGAGUUGAAAAGAAUCAGUGAAGUCGUACCUGAGUUUGCUUCAAUUUUAAGAGUUUGUAGAAAAGGUGAGAGUUGGCACCAAGGGGAAGGUAGAGUUCCACUGGGCGCGGGGCAGCAGAGAGAAUCAGAUGUAAAGCGGCAGGAGAAGACAGAAGUACCACCCAGAAGAUGAUACACUGCCCACAGCAGCCUGCGGCUGAGCAGAGGAAAAUUACCUGGAUUGCUACACAAAGCCCGAAGGGCUACCAGAAACUGAAGCUUGUUCUAGAUACAAGUCCACCAUCUUGCUGUCAUCAGGACUGGGCUGAUUCCCGAAGUGGUCUUCAAAAGGGAUAACCUUAAAGAAAAAGCGACUCAAUUCUUAGGAAGAUGUCCACGGCAUCCACGGGGAUAUACAGAGGUAGGUACUAGGGCAGGUCAUGUGUGCAUAAGCACCAGCAAUGACGUGUAUGGAGAAAUAGAUGGAGUACAGGUGACUCUGGUGCUGAAUGAAGCCUGUUUGCAGGAAAUUGCCAAUCAAUGGAGAAUUAUGACUCUGCCAGGCUUAGAGACCAAAUCAGGCUCACAGCUCUGGCUGUGUACUCAGGUGAAGUAUGGUAAACAGACUUCACCCUUUCUCCAGGCUUCCAAAUUAGAGCAUACUUGUCCAGAGGUCAAUUUCAAUACUUGGACUUUGGAUGUUCAUUAAGAACUGUGUCAUCAUUCUGCUUGGACAACUUUUGCCUUCAUUGUACAAUUUUGGGUCAGGAACUUUGACCUGAAUUGAGGGUAUUCCAGUUUUCCUUCUCAUAACCAGAAAGGAUCAACACAGGAUAAUGCUCAUAAAAAUUAGAUUUCUUGCUAAAAAAUAAUUAAAAUGCUCCAAAUACAAAGUCUUUUCCUACAAGCCAAGCUUCCAAGCAAUGACCCAGGGGUAUAAGAGCACAUUCCAAAUAAGUCCUGCUUUUACAUAAUCUAAUCUCAUUUGUUUCCCUUUUCUUCUGAAAGUAUAUGAUUCUGACUCAAAUUUCUUUCUAACAAUAUGCAUUUCAACCACAUAAAAUCUUGAAAGAGAUUCUAACUAAUUGCGGUAUUACUAUCAAUGUAGAGCCCUGGGUUUUCUAAAACCAUGGUUCAAUAACAAAGAUGAUCUAGCUAUCUUCCUUUAGAAGGUGUUGUCCAGUUCAGAACAAACUCCAUCCAGAUACAGCAGGUAGCAUGUAGACAAACCAUGCCUACAUGGCAACUUAAAGUUCCAGGGUCCGGCUCCGACACUAAGAGAAAUUGCUUUUAGGUUCUACGCUACCUCAAUGACAUGAAAGCUAGUAAAUUUUCUAAAAAGACCAAAUCAAUGAAGUUAGUUUCAAAGCUGCUUUGUGCAAAGGAAUGUAGAAUAACCCAUUUUAGGGUAGAUCAGAGGAAACACGAUAAAAACAGACUUCUUAAAAUCUCUCAUCUAAACUGAACCAGACCUCUAGGGUGAUCUGCCCAGCUUCCUAAUAAACUGAAACUGAAAUCGAUUACAAUCAUUUUACCUCUAUAUAUGAAUGGCUGUAGCAUGUGAGAAUGACUUCUGUAUUCACAGUUCAGUGGAGAGUUUUUAUUCCUAACUUUCUGGAACAAAGUUCACCUCUCAAAUGGCCCUGUGCUCCAAGUUUCACUCUUGGUCCCCCAACCUCGUGCCACUGUGAGCCUUCCCUAGAUGACUGUAGGUACUAUUUCAUCUGAAUGACCAUAUGUCCGCUGUUGUGUCUCAAACUAAAUCUCCCCACCCUGAUUUUGUCCCUUUGGUUGUUCCACAGGCACGUCAGACUAAACUCAACUCAUCAUCCAUGUCUUCAAAACUGCCCCUCCCCUCCCCCUCAUAUGCAUUAGCUCAGUUCAUGAUACCACCAUUGGCUGACCAGGUGGUCAGACCAGAAACCUGAGAGUUACCCUGAACAGCUUCUUCUUCCUCACCCAACUCCCCACAUGAGUAUCCCUACUCUGCUUUGUUAUCCCUUGCAUAUUUUUGUCCUUUCCCUCUCCCCUUUCUACUGUCAUUGCCUAGAAUAGCCGCUCCUCACCCCUUGCCUGGUCUCCUUCCCUCUAGUCUCCCCUCCUCUAGGCAGAGUGACCAUAUUCAUUGCCAGCCUAAUCACGCGACCCUGCCCAGAUCUUCAUCGGCUUCCCUCAAGGAGAGAAGAAACGUCAAGCUGCUUUGCCUGGCCUAACAGAGCCUCGGUGACAUAGUCCUACCUUUUCAUGUCCUGCCUCCUUCCACCUUGAAUUUUCUCUCUGGUAUGCCUUUGCUUUCAUGGUUCAGCCAUUUCAUUACUUUAGCAAAAUGCAUUUUAAGUAUAGUUUGGUGCCGAUACCAUCUUUACAAAAGGAUGGACUCUUCUCAGCAGGGUAAUUUAAUGAUGACGUCUUCAUUUCUUUAAAAAGUU